GACGGAGGGGGCGAGCGUUGUUCGGAAUUAUUGGGCGUAAAGGGCGUGUAGGCGGAUCGGCGUGUCCGGCGUGAAAUCUCCACCACUCAACGGGGAGGCGCCGCUGGAAACUACCGAUCUGGAGUUCGGCAGAGGAGCAUGGAAUUCCGGGUGUAGCGGUGGAAUGCGUAGAUAUCCGGAAGAACACCAGUGGCGAAGGCGGUGCUCUGGGCCGAAACUGACGCUGAGGCGCGAAAGCUAGGGGAGCAAACGGG
rnacentral:rRNA from 1 species